rnacentral:rRNA from 1 species
UACAGAGGUGGCGAGCGUUAUUCGGAAUUAUUGGGCGUAAAGGGCGCGUAGGCGGCCACGCAAGUCUUGGGUGAAAUCCCUCGGCUCAACCGAGGAACUGCCUUGGAAACUGCAUGGCUCGAGGCCGGGAGAGGGUAGCGGAAUUCCCAGUGUAGCGGUGAAAUGCGCAGAUAUCAGGAGGAACACCGGUGGCGAAGGCGGGUCUCUGGGCCGAUACUGACGCUGAGGAGCGAAAGCGUGGGGAGCGAACAGG